rnacentral:misc_RNA from 1 species
UCCCGGUUAACCCGGGCAGUCUCGUUAGAGUUCCCAGCCGAACUGUUGGCAACUAACGACAAGGGUUGCGCUCGUUGCGGGACUUAACCCAACACCUCACGGCACGAGCUGACGACAGCCAUGCAGCACCUGUCCGGCGGUCCCGAAGGAAAGCUCCGUUUCCGGAGCGGUCCGCCGCAUGUCAAGUCCAGGUAAGGUUCUUCGCGGUGCAUCGAAUUAAACCACAUGCUCCACUGCUUGUGCGGGUCCCCGUCAAUUCUUUUGAGUUUCACCCUUGCGAGCGUACUCCCCAGGCGGUGUACUUAACGCGUUAGCUCCGGCACAGAUAGGAUUGAGACUAUCUACACCAAGUACACAUCGUUUACGGCUAGGACUAC